GCCUUUUGGUUUGGAAUAACAUGAGGAAACUUGUGCUAAUACCGAAUAAGCCCUUACGGGGAAAGUUUUAACGCCGAAAGAUGAGCUCGCACUUGAUUAGCUAGUUGGUAGGGUAAAAGCCUACCAAGGCUACGAUCAAUAGCUGAUUUGAGAGGAUGAUCAGCCACAUUGGGACUGAGACACGGCCCAGACUCCUACGGGAGGCAGCAGUGGGGAAUCUUGCACAAUGGGGGAAACCCUGAUGCAGCGAUGCCGCGUGAGUGAAGAAGGCCUUUGGGUUGUAAAGCUCUUUCGUCGGGGAAGAAAAUGACUGUACCCGAAUAAGAAGGUCCGGCUAACUUCGUGCCAGCAGCCGCGGUAAUACGAAGGGACCUAGCGUAGUUCGGAAUUACUGGGCUUAAAGGGCUCGUAGGUGGUUAGAAAAGUUGGUGGUGAAAUCCCAAGGCUUAACCUUGGAACUGCCAUCAAAACUUUUUAACUAGAGUAUGAUAGAGGAAAGUGGAAUUUCUAGUGUAGAGGUGAAAUUCGUAGAUAUUAGAAAGAACACCGAUUGCGAAGGCAACUUUCUGGAUCAUUACUGACACUGAGGAGCGAAAGCAUGGGUAGCGAA
rnacentral:rRNA from 1 species